rnacentral:snoRNA from 1 species
AUUUGAUGAUGAGGGCAUUGAAUGCACAAUAUCUCAAAUCUUUCCCAAUACUUAGUGAGCGUCUCUCCAUGAGAUUGUCGAAUCCCAUAUAUUUCUUUCCUUAUAUU